UGGGGAAUUUUGGACAAUGGGCGAAAGCCUGAUCCAGCAAUGCCGCGUGUGUGAAGAAGGCCUUCGGGUUGUAAAGCACUUUUGUCCGGAAAGAAAUCCUUGGCUCUAAUACAGUCGGGGGAUGACGGUACCGGAAGAAUAAGCACCGGCUAACUACGUGCCAGCAGCCGCGGUAAUACGUAGGGUGCAAGCGUUAAUCGGAAUUACUGGGCGUAAAGCGUGCGCAGGCGGUUUGCUAAGACCGAUGUGAAAUCCCCGGGCUCAACCUGGGAACUGCAUUGGUGACUGGCAGGCUAGAGUAUGGCAGAGGGGGGUAGGAAUUCCACGUNUAGCAGUGAAAUGCGUAGAGAUGUGGAGGAAUACCGAUGGCGAAGGCCAGCCCCCUGGGCAAUACUGACGCUCAUGCACGAAAGCGUGGGGAGCAAACAGGAUUAGAUACCCCUGGUAGUCCGCGCCCUAAACGAUGUCAACUAGUUGUUGGGGAUUCAUUUCCUUAGUAACGUAGCUAACGCGUGAAGUUGACCGCCUGGGGAGUACGGUCGCAAGAUUAAAACUU
rnacentral:rRNA from 1 species